AACGCGAAGAACCUUACCCAGGCUCGAAAUGUAAUGGACAGUACCAGAAAUGGUAUGUUCCGCAAGGACUGUUAUAUAGGUGCUGCAUGGCUGUCGUCAGCUCGUGCCGUGAGGUGUUUGGUUAAGUCCAGCAACGAGCGCAACCCUUAUCUUCAGUUGCUACCAUUUAGUUGAGCACUCUGACGAAACCGCCUCGGAUAACGGGGAGGAAGGUGGGGAUGACGUCAAGUCCUCAUGGCCUUUAUGUCCAGGGCUACACACGUGCUACAAUGGCCGGUACAAACCGCUGCAACCCCGCGAGGGUGAGCUAAUCGGAAAAAGCCGGCCUCAGUUCGGAUUGGAGUCUGCAACUCGACUCCAUGAAGCUGGAAUCGCUAGUAAUCGUGGAUCAGCAUGCCACGGUGAAUACGUUCCCGGGCCUUGUACACACCGCUCGCGA
rnacentral:rRNA from 1 species